rnacentral:rRNA from 1 species
GAUGAACGCUGGCGGCGUGCCUAAUACAUGCUAGUCGAGCGAACAGACGAGGAGCUUGCUCCUCUGACGUUAGCGGCGGACGGGUGAGUAACACGUGGAUAACCUACCUAUAAGACUGGGAUAACUUCGGGAAACCGGAGCUAAUACCGGAUAACAUGUUGAACCGCAUGGUUCAACAGUGAAAGACGGUUUUGCUGUCACUUAUAGAUGGAUCCGCGCCGCAUUAGCUAGUUGGUAAGGUAACGGCUUACCAAAGCAACGAUGCGUAGCCGACCUGAGAGGGUGAUCGGCCACACUGGAACUGAGACACGGUCCAGACUCUUACGGGAGGCAGCAGUAGGGAAUCUUCCGCAAUGGGCGAAAGCCUGACGGAGAAACGCAGCGUGCGUGAAGAAGGUCUUCGGAUCGUAAAACUCUGUUAUUAGGGAAGAACAAAUGUGUAAGUAACUAUGCACGUCUUGACGGUACCUAAUCAGAAAGCCACGGCUAACUACGUG